rnacentral:rRNA from 1 species
GCAAGUCGAACGAGAAAGUUUCCUUCGGGAAACGAGUAGAGUGGCGCACGGGUGAGUAACGCGUAGGUAAUCUACCCUUAUAUUUGGGAUAACAUUGGGAAACUGGUGCUAAUACCGAAUGGUCUUAUUUUAAUGCGAGUUAAAUUGAGUAAAGGUGGCCUCUGUAUAUGCUACCGUAUAGGGAUGAGCCUGCGUACCAUUAGCUAGUUGGUAGGGUAACGGCCUACCAAGGCGACGAUGGUUAGCGGGUCUGAGAGGAUGAUC